rnacentral:rRNA from 1 species
GGGAAGAGCUCAAAUUUUGAAUCUGGCGGUCUUUCGGCCGUCCGAGUUGUAAUCUAGAGAAGCGCCUUCCGCGCUGGACCGUGUAUAAGUCUCCUGGAAGGGAGCGUCGUAGAGGGUGAGAAUCCCGUCUUUGACACGGACUACCAGGGCUAUGUGAUGCGCUCUCGACGAGUCGAGUUGUUUGGGAAUGCAGCUCAAAACGGGUGGUAAAUUCCAUCUAAAGCUAAAUACAGGCGAGAGACCGAUAGCGAACAAGUACCGUGAGGGAAAGAUGAAAAGAACUUUGGAAAGAGAGUUAAACAGUACGUGAAAUUGCUGAAAGGGAAACGCUUGAUGUCAGUCGCGUCGCCCGGGGAUCAACCUUGCUUCUCGCUGGGUGUACUUCCCGGUCGACGGGUCAGCAUCAGUUUCGGUCGCCGUACAAGGGCGAGGGGAACGUGACACUCUUCGGGGUGUGUUAUAGCCUUUCGUCGCAUGCGGCGCUCGGGACUGAGGAACUCAGCACGGCUUCGGUCUGUGCUUAGGAUGCUGGCAUAAUGGCCUUAAGCGACCCGUCUUGAAACACGGACCAAGGAGUCUAACAUGCCUGCGAGUGUUCGGGUGGCAAACUCGAGCGCGUAAUGAAAGUGAAAGUUGAGACCUCUGUCGUGGAGGGCAUCGACGCCCGGACCUGAGUCUUCGACGACGGAUCUGCGGUAGAGCAUGCAUGUUGGGACCCGAAAGAUGGUGAACUAUGCCUGAAUAGGGUGAAGCCAGA